GAGGGCAGAGCUAAGUGGUAGAGCAUGUGCUUAGCAUGCAUAAGGUCCUGGGUUCAAUCGCCAGUACCUCCA
rnacentral:tRNA from 1 species